rnacentral:tRNA from 1 species
GCCACGUUAGCUUAAUGUAAAGCACCUAUAUAUGAUAUAGGAGAUCUAGGUUCAAAUCCUAGGCGUGGCA